UGUAGUUGUGUAUCACAGUUGUACCCUUCGCAAACGUUGAGGUCGAGGUACGGACUAGGUUUUUGGUUUCUUUAACUUCCAAAGUAAACCCAAAGAAGUACAGGUGAAGGGAAGAAGAGAGAAGCACAAGAAAGCAAGCUGCCAAUACCAGUAACCCAAAGAGGCGUGAAAUGGAGGAGAAGGUGCAUACAAGUGAAGGAGGGAUUUCUAAAGAGGGAAGUAAGAACAAGAAAGAAGAGAGUCCCAUACUACCUACAGGUCACUUUUUCACCAAUUCCACAGAGAAGAAAAUUGUGGCCAUAAAGCAAGAGGACUUUGAAUGGGAAACUGCAUAUCAUCAGCAGCAGAGGCCCAAUGUUAAGCAGGAGGAUUGUGAAUGGGAGAUUAUAGGUAUGAAGAAAGAGACUGACACACAAAACGAUGAAAUUAGGAGCAGUGUCAAGAAAGAAGACCUUAAAUCUAAGCAGGACUCACAAUACAUCUGUUCAAAUGAAAUGAUGACUGGAUUAGGCUCUACUCCAAAUAGGAACUGCCCUUUACAGGAUCAAUUGACCCAAGUGAAGUCAGAAUCUAAUGGGAUGAAAAAGGAGGACGAUUGUGAAUGGGAGAUUACAGGCAAUAAAGAAGAGACUGACACACAAAACGAUGAAAUUAUUAGCAGUGUCAAGAAAGAAGACCUUAAAUCUGAGCAGGACUCUCAGUAUAUCUGUUCAAAUGAAAUGAUGACAGGAUUAGGCUCUAUUCCAAAUAGGAACUGCCCCUUACAGAAUCAUUUGAACCAAGUGAAGUCAGAAUUAUUAGAUUCUAACAGGAUGAAAAAGGAGGAAGCGUCAACUUCUGAACAUUCUGAACAAGAUUUACAACAGAACAGUCAUUUUUCCUCAUAUCUGUCACCUCAGCACAGUCUUUGUCAGAGACCACAACAGACACAGCACAAUGAAAAACUGAAGAUAUCAACAUCUCAAUUGGACAGUUCCAUACUGUCCUCUUUGCAGUACAGUUCCCAACCUGUAAAACUAAUGAGUUGUGUUGUGAAACUAACAAGGAUUAAUGAUGGGAACACUCAUCAGCAGGGGAAGAAAACCGAACCUGUGAUGUUGGGGUUCUGCAAAGUAAAUGAAAGAAGUUCUAACAGCAAAUCUAAGGUUAAAAAUUGUCGAAAAGACCAACCGAAGCCACAUUGCUGCUCUGAAUGUGGGAAACAAUUCAGCAAUAUGCGCAAUCUUCAGAACCACACAACAAUUCACACUGGAAAAAAUGCAUAUAUCUGUCUAGAAUGUGGUAAACGAUUCUACCGGAAAAGUCAUCUUGUUAGCCACACAAGAGUUCACACUGGUGAGAAGCCAUUUGGUUGUUCUGAAUGUGGCAAACAAUUCUCUCACAGUAGUGCCCUGCAAUCACACAAGAGAUUUCACACUGGAGAGAAGCCAUAUAGUUGUCCUGAAUGUUGCAAACUAUUUUCUGAUAGCAAAGACCUUCUGACCCACAUAAGAAUUCACACUGGAGUGAAACCAUUUUCCUGUCCUGGAUGUGAUAAACGAUUCUCUGACAAGAGCUCCCUUCGUACCCAUGCAAGAAUUCAUACUGGAGAGAAGCCAUUUUGUUGUCCUGAUUGUGGUAAAUUAUUUGCUGGUUGUAGCAAUUUCCGCAUACACAUCAGACGUCACAGUGGAGUGAAGCCAUAUUGCUGUUCUGAGUGUGGUAAACAAUUCUAUGAAAAGAGCAGUCUUCAGAACCAUGCAAGAAUUCACACUGGAGAAAAGCGGUAUUGUUGUCCUGAAUGUAACAAACAAUUCUAUGAAAAGACAGGACUUCGAUACCAUGCAAGAACUCACACAGGAGUGAAGCCGUAUUGUUGUCCUGAAUGUGGCAAACGAUUCUAUGAAAAGACAGGAGUUAGACGCCAUUCUAGAAUUCACACUGGAGAGAAACCAUUUUGUUGUCCUGAUUGUGGUAAAUUAUUUGCUCAUUGUAGCAGUUUCCGCACACACAUUAGAAGUCACACUGGAGAGACGUCAUAAUGCUGUUCUUUACCAUUUUCCUGUCCUGGAUGUGAUAAACGAUUCUCUGACAAUAGGAACCUUUGUUACCAUGCAAAGAAUUCACAUGGAAGAGAAACCAUUUUCCCGUCCUGAAUGAGGCAAACAGUUCUCUCAUAGUAACAGUCUCCAGGCACACAUCUGAAGAUAAAAUAGAUGCAAUGAGUGUUACUGUACAAUAUUUCAAAUGAGCAACAAAUCAAGAGAACUAGAGUCAGUUGUGAUUGGAUCAACAGGACUAAUUAAAAGAAUCUUUUAUGCCCUUCUUGAUACCCCUCCAAUUAACAUAACUCCGUUUGAACUGCCAAAGGAAGCAUUAUUGGAAUAAUGCAAGUUCUUCACGUCUAUUGCUGCAAAUUUUAAGGGGGUAAGAAAUAAAGUAAUUCAACUGAACUGUUGACUAAAGAAUGAGGUCCACUAACAUCUUAAUAGAAAGCAAACCAAGAAUAUUUUGGAGAAAAUAAUCCUGAGAGAAGCCGUAUUGCUCUUCUGAAUAUGGCAGAGAUUUCCCAGAGGAGCCAUUUUCACAGGAACACAACGACUUGUACUGAAUGUGGUAAACAAUUCUACAGAGACUUGAUAGGCACAAAAAAAACUCAUAAAUGUAUGAAAAAAAAACAUAGAUAAACUUGAAAUUAUAUUCUGAAUUCCAACCUUGGGGUUAGACAAAGAGGGCUUAUGCAGAAAAUGUGCUAUUUCUUAAACAUAGCGAUUCUAAAAUUAGAGUAUCCAUCCAUCCAUCCAUUUUCCAACCCGUAGUAAAUGUUGUCAAUUUAAGAUAAAAAUCUUACAUUACCAUCACUUAAGAAAAAAAAAGUUUAGGCCAGUCUUGAGAAUACCUUGGAUAAAGUAGCACAAAGAAAGAUCAGGAAGAAUAACAAAUUCUGGAAAACCAAAAAGUGAAAGGCACUAGAAUGGUUAUGUGAUUUUUAUUUGUGUGUGUAACAUUUAUUUAUCCACUCCUGCAUGAAAUAUAAAGGUGCUUAAAUAUUUGAUGCCAAAGUAAAAAAAUAUUGUGGAAGUGUAAGUCACAAGAGACUGCUCUGUUUAGUGUUUGGUAAAGCAGCAACAUAUUGAACAAAAGCCUGAUAUUGUUCCAAAAAGUCUUACAGGUUAAGGUUGAGCAGAAUGUCCAUUUUGAUUCUUACUGACUUUAAGAAAGGGAUUCAACUGAGUAAUUUAAAAAGUGAAACAACGAGCUCUGUCUGGAAAAUCGCAUAGAAAGAUCAUCUGUUAGUGCUAAGGUACACUCUGGUUAUUUUGGUGUGAGCACAAAUGCACAUGAAUACUCCAAACCAUGAGAGAGGCUGAAAAUAUACCAAAUCUACUACUGUUUAAAACAUUGGAGACUGUGUGACCUACACUUGCAGAAGUCACAUUGAUUUGGUGGCUCUUCUGUGUCCUUUGCUUCUCCUCCUUUCCUUCAGAAUCCUCACACUGCAUUACUUGUAUUGCAAAGUAAUUUCUACUCACCCUGCACUCUGAAUAAUCAAGUGGAUUCUGCAAAUCGCAAUGUGAACCUGCUAGUCCAAUGAUACAGGUACUCUAGCGGAGUCAGCACAAUCUACAGAAUUCAGUAAAGCAGUGAUUGCCGAUUUCAUAGAAAAUAUAUAAUUAUUUGUAUUUCUACAGCUCACUGCAAUGCAGAACAGCAUUCAGCAAAGUUUUCAAAUGGGACUGGGUGAUAUUGAAAGCUGAGUAGAAAAUUUUUUUUCAAGAUGUCCGCAGUAUUGUGAAUACCCUGAACCAAGAUGAGGAUCAGAUCCGAUCACUCAUAUUCAAAGUUUCCUUUUUAACUGCAUAACUCACUCUUGGGUGAUAGAGUUGGGCACUGCAAUGUAUGCAUCAUUGGAAUAAAGGAAA